rnacentral:snRNA from 1 species
GUGCUAGCUUUGGCAGCACACAUACUAAAAUUGGAAUGAUACAGAGAUUAGCACGGCCCCUGUGCAAGGAUGAUGCAAAUUUGUGAAGCAUUCCAUAUUUUU